CUCAGCAGCUCUCAUCUGGUUUCCCACUGAAGCUAAGCAGGGUUGUGCCUGGUUAGUACUUGGAUGGGAGACCUCCUGGGAAAAGUAGGUCGCUGCUGAAA
ensembl:rRNA 5S_rRNA 5S ribosomal RNA